rnacentral:lncRNA from 1 species
UUGAAGAGAAGUGUUACAUCAUGCAAAGAAAAUAACAACUACAGGAUACGACGAAAGAAUUUUCAAGAGAAAGGUGUCCAUCGUCUUACCGCCCCAGAAAAUAUAAAUAAAUGCGGAAGGAAAGAAAAAUUUGAGGGGACUGGAUAUGUACAGAGUAACACAAAAAAAUAACGUAAACUGAUAACGAAAUGAUGUAGAAAACGAAAGGAAAAUGACAAGUAUUAAUAUUAUAAUACAAUAUAGAGGAAAUUAAAUUAAAACAAAAACAAUGAAGGGGAACACCAGCCCGGGAAAGGAAUUAAUAUUGAAAAAAAAUAUAUAUAUAUUUUUGGGAGCGACGUUUUACAGUUAUAAUAUACGUAUAUAUAUAUAUAUAAGUAUGUUCUGAAAAAUAUUGGUACGAAACCACGAAGUGUUGAAAAUCCCAGGAAGCUCGCAUUGAUAUGUUCACGAACACCUUGUUUCCUGGUUUCUCUGCACUCUCCGCAGCAUGCUUGAUGAGAAGAGGCCCUGUAAGGGAGAUCCAUUAUGAUUCUCUCACAGUGAAGCAUAAUCGUUUCUGGGAGUACGAGAAGGAAAGUAAAAGAGUCGCAACUGGACAAUGUGGUGCUGGACUACCCCAUUAGAAGCAUAGAAGUAUGUCGUUUGCCAUAACAUAUCAUACAUAUCUAUCGCCUAGUGGAUGAAAUAGAUUUCAUUUCCGUAAAACAACAAACUGACCAGUCAACGAGCUGACCAAUCAAGGAAGGACACUACGUAGUCGUUCAACCAGCUAGAAAUAGCAAGCGCUCCUAUCUCAAAUCACAAAUCCGUCUUAAAUGAAGGAAGAACUGAAUAUUAUAAUCGCUGAUGCACAGAAACAAGAUCGGAGUAGAUCACACUUGGAAUGAUAUUGGCUGUUAACGAAUAACAAGCAAGUGCUCUAUAUAAUUUAUACUAAACUUGAAACUUGUAGGGUAUCUUCAUAGCGAUGUUCAAGUUGUCUAAGUGUAAUUCUUCUUGCCAUUCAGAAUUAUUCCCUCUCCUUCCUCUCUCUCUCUCUCUCUCUCUCUCCUUCACUUUCUCUCUCUCUCUAAACUAACAGAGAUUAAACAUAAAUUAAUGGAUAAAUCUCCAAAGGUAAGUCAAAGAAUGAACUCAUUUUAUUAUACUAAGAGUAUAGCACACAUGCGUUUACUUCUAUAAAUACAAUAUGCAUACAAAUAUACAAUAAGUAUACAACGCAG